AUUGAACGCUGGCGGCAGGCCUAACACAUGCAAGUCGAACGAGUGGCGGACGGGUGAGUAAUGUCUGGGAAACUGCCUGAUGGAGGGGGAUAACUACUGGAAACGGUAGCUAAUACCGCAUACCAUCAGAUGUGCCCAGAUGGGAUUAGCUAGUUGGUGGGGUAACGGCUCACAAAGGCGACGAUCCCUAGCUGGUCUGAGAGGAUGACCCGCCCAACGGGAACUGCGACACGGUCCAGACGCCGACGGGGGGUAGCAGUGGGGAAUAUUGAACAGUGGGGGCAUGCCGGAUGCAGCCAUGCCGGGUGUAUGAAGAAGGCCUCCGGGUUGUAAAGUCUUUUCAGCGGGGAGGCGUUACCCGAAGAAGAAGCACCGGCGAACUCCGUGCCAGCAGCCGCGGUAAUAC
rnacentral:rRNA from 1 species